UACGUAGGAGACGAGCGUUGUUCGGAAUUAUUGGGCGUAAAGGGUGCGUAGGCGGCCUGACAAGUCUGAUGUGAAAUCCCUGGGCUCAACCCAGGGCCUGCAUCGGAAACUGUCGGGCUUGAGUAUGGGGAGAGGUGAGUGGAAUUUCCGGUGUAGCGGUGAAAUGCGUAGAUAUCGGAAGGAACACCUGUGGCGAAAAGCGGCUCACUGGACCAUUACUGACGCUGAGGCACGAAAGCUAGGGGAGCAAACAGG
rnacentral:rRNA from 1 species